AGAGAGAGAGAGAGAGAGACGUAAAGAGAGAUUCAGAGAGAGAAUUAGGGAGCGAUUUAAAGAGGAGAAGAGAAUGCAAAGAGGAGAGGGAAACUAAGUGGAGUUCAUAUAUGGGAAUUCCUUUCUUUACUUGGGUGGGAGUUGUAUGAGAAAUCGAUGCGAGAGCUUCUUAAUUUGCCUUGUAGCCUUUGUCUUACACCCUAGAGUCUAUUAGAAGGGGAUUUUUAUACCAUAUUAUGUAUAUUAUUAUAUAUAUACAAUUAAUUAACAUGGUUUUAAUUUACGUACAAUAUGGGUAGUGGUCGACUCGUGGCCGUGGCUCACUUUAUCGCGCGUUAGCCUACGUAUGUUAUCUUUACAACGACGCCAAAUUAACCCAUGCCCCUUUUGACCCCAAAUGACCCAAUUCCUAGCCAAUUGUUCAAUGGAAGUUACUAUAGACAAAGAAAAGAUAAUGAAUUUUUUUAAAAAACAAAAAGAAGAAAAGCCACUACUUUAGCUUUAGAGAUGGGCAUUAGAAGAUUCUCAACCUUUCUAAAAUCUAACACAUUCUAUGAACUAAUUGCAUGUUUCAUUGAGUGAGAAAGAAAUUGUGAAUGCCUUUAUAAGGUUGUCAAUCACGGUCGACGAAUAUAUCGAAUUCGCGGUGAUUAACGACGAACUUUGAAUGACCUACGAGUCAAUAAUAGACAUUCUAGAGGUUUAGAGCCAAGAUUAUUUGUCUCUCGCAGAUGCUAAUUAAGUGGUCAUUAAUGUAUGCUAAUGUGAUUGUUUAAUAAAGGUGGAACAUAUAUCCCUAUCUAUUUUUAAAAUUGACCAAAAUUGUUGGACUAGAAAAUCAAUACAUAUAUAGUAGCUAGGUAAUUAAACAAAAUACUAGACAGACAUAAUAUCUUUUGUGAUGAUAUAUAUAGGUAAUGAUCAUGGCUAUAUAAAUUUGUGUACCAUAUUAAUUAACAAAUUAAUCUCGUCGUCGUCGCCGUCAUUCUUGUCUAAACUUUGUAGAAAUCCAAUGAAUUAGGAUUAAGUAUAAUAUUCAAUCUAAACGGCUAUAGUUGUAGAUAGGUUUUAAGCUUUUCGUAAUUUGUUCCCAUACCCUUCUUAUCACUUGAUGUAUAGUGGAUUAACCAACAACUAGGCGUCAAGUAUUAUGGGUCUGAAUCAGCUUAUCUAUUGCGUAGGAGCCUUCCAAUUAGAAAAGCUUAAGACCACACUGUGUGCUUUCCAAGUUUGUCAUAUUACCACGUGCUUACCACUAAAUAGUUCCCUUUUUUUUCCUUUAAUAUAUAUAAUAAUAAUAUAUAUGAUAGUAUGGAAAUUAAUAGUGGCAUGUCACAACAACAAAAACGAUUUAUAGCGAUACUUUUAAAUAUUGGUAUAGGUCAAAAAAAAGUGCUGCUGGCUAAAUUACCGACACUUUUAAAAAGUGUUGCUAUAUGUGGGGUCGCUAGGUAUAUAGUGACAGUUAAAGAGUAUCGUUAUAACCUAAAAGAGUGCUGCUAAUUUAUUAACACUUAUUUAAGCAUUUAGCAACUACCGGAACUCUACCUCGUUGGCUACGGUGGCGGAAAAGGACGAGAGGAUGGGAUCUUCGUAUAGGAUUUCAGUGAAUUGAGUAAAGAGGGAAAGGGAGAUGGUAAUCAAUUUUUCUUUUUUUUUUUCUUUUCUGUUUGUAAUCGGGCCGAAUGGGCUGGGUGGGGUGGGUUGAGUAGAGUAAUUUUUUAUUUUUAGUUGGAUUCGGCUUUAUAUUUAGCCAUUAGUAGAUUUUUUUUUAAGUUUUAAUAUAAAUGAGGUAUUUACACAAAAGUGUCUCAAACAUGUAUCCCUAUAACCUAAUUCUGUUGUAGUGUGUACUCAUUGCUUAUAAUAUUGAAUUCGAUAUAAAAUAUGCAUGAGAAUACUAUUUCUAUCUAUACGUAGCCGUUUUGUAAGGUAAGAAAUUCUAAGUUCAAAUAUUAUGAUCAGGUAAUUAAGCUCUCAAUCUCAUUUAAUUCUCGUCCAUGUAAUUAGUCUAUAUAUGUCUAGGAUGAAUCACAAAGUGGUCACGAACCUUGACAUGUGGCUAGAGAGAAAAUCGGUUGUUUCGCAGUUUGCAGUAAUGUGGUGAGAGUUUUGUACAAGAUGCAUGCAUAUUUUGGUUUGGGCUGUGGGGCCAAAUAAUGAUCAGCCCUCCUUAUAAUAUUGGGCACCAUCUAAUGUGGGUUUUUAUAUGCUUGUACCAACAAGUAUAUAUUAAUUUUCUUUAGAAGCAAUUAAUCAUUGGAUAUUUAAUCAGAAGAACGAAAUGGCACCAAACAUUUCCAUAUGUUUUGGUGCAAUGAUGAUCCAAAUUAGGAAAUUAUUGGAUAUUUAAUCAGAAGAACCAUCUAAAUAUUGAGCACCAUCUAAAUUAGUCUUUAUAUAUAUGCUUGUACCAACAAGUAUAUAUUAAUUUUCUUUACAAGUAAUCAUUGGAUAUUUAAUCAGAAGAACAAAAUGGCACCAAAUAUUUCCAUAUGUUUUGGUGCAAUGAUGAUCCAAAUUAGGAAAUUAAAACUCACAUUGUUUAUAGUAACAAAGUGAGGGCUUGGUGGUUGGUACUCGAGAUCAAAGUGAUGACUUGAUGGUUGGUACUCAAGAUCCAAGUUCGAAUCCUAGUUGAUUCACAUUUCCAGCUAAAUUUAUUUCUAAAUGAAAUAAACAAAACGGAUAGCGUACUACCUAUCUCUCAAAAAAAAAAAAACAAAAACAAAGUGAGGGCUUUGCAAAAGAUGCGUGUUUUGGGUUGGACCAUGCGUGGGUCCCUUUGAGCCGUCCCCGGCCUGUUUAUAAUAUUAUGGGGUAAUCAUUAUUUUGAAUUAUAAGAACAAAUGGGCACCUAGCUAACAUUUUCACAUGUACGUAUUAUUAGAGGUGCCUCAAAAUUUGAUUCAUUGACAAGUUUAGCGGUGCGACAAGGUUUUUAAAAAAUAAACUGUGAAGAAAAAAUAUAUGUCUGUGGUGGCUAGCGGAGAGCUUGAGUCGAUAAUGAAGAAUCUAUUAAGAAAUUUUAUUCUCCUUUUUUGUCCUAGAUGCGAUGCAACGUUUGUAAUUUCCAGAACAUUGUAUUUUUUUUUUCAUAGUGAAGCUCUAUCCUUCUUCACCUAUAGUUUUUUACCUGCAAAAAAAUUUUCACAUAAAUCUUUGUAUUCAUUUUAUUUCUGUUUGUGGAUAGUCUACUUUACGUUCGUCAUUUUCAUUUCUAUUUGUGCGCUCGUUGUAACACAUAUCUUUGAUGCAAUAUUGACCCAAAUUAGGAAAUUAAGCUCAUACCAGCUUCUAGUCUUGAGUAAAGGAGGGUUCACCAACCAUAGCAAUAUCUACGUCACACUUUUGUUUUGUUCAAGCAUGAUAUCAUGGAAUUUUUUAUGUCAAAAUUAAGCAUAUCUUUCCACCCAAAAAAGAGAAAAAAAACAGAAAAAAAAUGCCUAUGUGGGCUAAUAGGAAGAUGAGAGGAAGACACAUAUAUUGUUCUUGUGGGCCUAAAACAAUGACUAAUGACCACACUAAUUUAAAGGUAGAAUUCUUUUUUCUUUUGUUCUUCCAAUACCAUAAUUAAUUAUGACUAACAGAUUCAAAUUCCAUAUUCCUAAUACUAAAUUUUAUAAGUCCUUGUAUUUCUUAGCUACUCUUGAAAUUUUCUCCUGACACCUCUAUUCUGAAAGAGGAUAAUUAGUCCUUAAAACAUGUGUUGAAAACAAGGGGAAAACAACAACAAUUUCAUUAAGACAACAAAGAAUUAUUUUUUUCUAAAAGGAGAUGGACUUUUCAACCGUCCAUCACAUGCUUUAUUUUCUUGAAAAAUAACUAAAGGUUACAUCAAUAUUGGUAAAACACUUUCGCAGAGAGUGCAAUAUUAGUAAUCAAAAUAACAUAUAGGACAGGUAAAUUACUGAGUUAAGAUUUUAUUUUUUUUCAGGGGCGAAUAAAUUUCUGAAUCGAGAACUUUUUACUCGAAUUCAACCAACUUAUAUGCCAUUUAUUCUUUGUCAAAAUAAUUAAAUCUACCAUUUUAUUACAUCUUUUUAAACAAAAUGCACAAAGUCAUAUAACUCUAGUUUUUCUAGAUAGAUAAACUGUUUCAUAUAUAUAUGCAUGUCACACACAGACAUCACCACAUGCAUGUGAGAUAUAUAUGAGCGUAAAAGUUAAGAGGAACGUCACCAAAAAGACCAAAGCAAACAUAUAUAUGUAUAUAAAUAUAAUGGAUAGCGAAGUAUAUACGUGGAGAUGGGGACACAGCUUAGAUAUGCCUCCCUAUCCAAUCUCCUUUAAUUCACCUUUUCCACCAUCCCUUAUGUCAUAGGGCAAAAUGUCCACGUGUCUAAGUCGCGAAAUGUCUACGUAGGGGGAAAGGUAACAUGCAUGGUCAACAUCUUUAGUGGAUCCAGGUGAUCAUCUACGCGACAUGUUGGUCUCGAGCACGAACUCCCUUUUUUCCAUUAUCAUUAUUUUCGAAAUAGGCCAUGCAUGGACCACAUUUGGUCUCCUUUGAGAGCUUUUGGAAUGGUCCACCUACUAAGGAUUACAAUGUAUUAACUUUAUAUAUCCUUGUCUAAACUGUAUACUACUCGAAACCUUAGAACCCAAAGACUUAGUAACUAAGGUUCCGAUGGAGAUGUUAUUUUUGUCAAAAUGGUCUUUGUUUGGCCUUGCUUUCAUCGAUUAAUUACGCUAACCGCGUUUAAAUUUUGUGCUAGUUGAGUUAUUGGUGCAUGCAUAUCAUAAGAAGUUAUGGUCUCAUAGAUUUCGUCGGAAAUAUCGGGCACAAUUCUAUACAUAGCAAAUUCAUUAAUUCAUUCUGCGAGAUGCAUAACACUUAUGAGCAGUAGGAUUGCGCUGUGCUAAAAAAAAAUCUUUUUCCCAUAUGGCCGUAGGCAAAAUCACAACAGUAAAUGAACCUUCAAGAAUAUUAAUAGGAGUGAUAUGAUACCUAAAAAUGGCAUUUUUUUCUUUUUUGAAUCAAAAGUCCGUAGACAUUUUAUUAAAAGUAGAGUUUGAUUACAAUAUUAAAAAAAAAAAAGUUUGGGAGAACGUUUGCAGAAGUUUCACAUGUUUUAUGUUGUUUGUUGGGGAGUGGUACCAUCUUGCUCAGGGCAAACUAUGUAUAGAUUAAUUUUCCUUUCAUCUCUGAAUAUAACAGAUUUUUAGAUCCCGACCCUUUUUUUUUUCUACUAAGAAUACAUUUGGGAUUGCGUGAAAAACACUUUACGUAUUAUGGAAAAAUGUGAUGAACAAAAUAUUUACUUUGUUUUCGUAAAAGAUAUAUACCUUGUUAUGUAGAUGACAUCAAUAUUUUUGUUUUUUUUUUUUUAUUUUGAGAUAUAGGUAGCACGCUACCUGCUUCGUUUAUUUCAUUUAGAAAUAAACUUAGCUGGAAAUGUGAAUCAAUUAGGAUUCGAACUUGGGUCUCGGAUACCAACCACCAAACCCUUUGCCACUUGCUCUAGGGAUAUCAAUAUUUUUGUUACGGUAUAAUUUCUGAUGUCUCACUGAAGUAUAAUCCUAUAUAAUUUUGCCGAUUACUUUUUAUCCGGUAGUGUUAGAUAAACUUGAAUACCAAAACUAGCUCUAAAGGACCUUAUUUUGCUAGGUUAUUAUUCAUUUUUCGGACCCACAUGCAUACAUGAACUCAAAAAACACGUUUAAUCAAAAAUAUAAUCGAUCAAUGUAAUAAAUGCUGUAUUCUUUUUCUCGAGAAGUAAAUAAUGCCAUACUCACUAGCAUUUUCUACAAUUUUUUGUGGCUGUAGAUGCAAAGCGUGGAAAAUUGCAUAUUAGAUCUACUCACAUUCAUAUCCAGUAGUACAUUGAAAAUUGCAUAUUAAUCUGUUUUUAAAGUUCAAAAAAAAAAUCUUUUAGAGUGACAAAAAAAUUUUUAGUCAAAAAAACAUUAACGAUUUCACUCUUUUAAUGGCUUACAUAGACUAACUACAAUUUUUUUAAAUCCUCCCGAGGCCUUUAAACCCAUAACCCAAAUAAACUACAGAAGCCCUGCUACAAGCCCAAACCAAACAUGAAGAGGCUACAAAUGAAGGCCUAAAUUUGUAUGUCACAUGGAAAAAUUCUCAAAUGGGGGAGAAAGAUCAAGUAUAUAUAUGUUAAUUUUGUCUAAAAUUCCAUUUGUUUUUGGGGUAACAAGAAAAAAAAAAAAAGAAAAUAAAAAGAGGGCGGUAACAGACUUGAAGGAGUGAUGCCAGACAUCAUUUCUCCAUCUCAGUCAGUCUUCCUAAAGGAAUUAAGGUGGAGUUUGACAAAGCGUUCGACAGAAUUAAAUGGUCAUUUCUUAAAGGAAAUCAUGUUUUGGUUAGGUUUUGGAAAAAUAAAAUAAAAUAAAAUAACAUGAUGGGGAUGGAUCGACCAGUGUAUAUAGCCAAUGCUAUAUAUGGUCUCAAUCUUAAUUAAUGAACGUAACCCCAACUAAAUGGAUCAAAACCAUGAGAGAUAUGUGACGGGGAUCGAUUCCUUAUCCCCCUUCCUAUUAGCGUUGACGACAAAAUGUUUUACGCGCAUAACUGAACAUGCGAAAGGAAAUAAUCUCCUUAGAGGGAUGGAGCCUAAUCUCACCAUCAUUUAAUAUGCUGAAGAUACGAUCUUUUUUUGUGAGGCAAAUGCCUCAGAAACUUGCAAUUCAUAUGGAGCAUUCUGGAAUUGGCCUUAGGUUUAAAAGUAAAUAGACACAAAUUGAAGCUCUUCUACUUGGGGAGGUGAAAUUGUAAAGAAGAAAGAUUGGCAAGAAUCCUAUCGUACAUAUAUGAGGAGCCAGCUGCCUCCCUCUCGAUGCAAAAUUUAUUUUCUUACUGAAUGAAAUAGAUAGUAUAAUAUCUUUUUCUCAAAGCUGAAUUAAAUAUUAGCUCGUGGCUCAAUAAAACAUACAUAUAUAGCUAAAGAAUAUAUAACUCUAUAUUAUAUCAUAAUUUAGAAGAGCUAGUUUUAGUUUUCAAAAUCACGUUCUAUAUUUCUUUUCAUUUUGGGUCGAAUCGGUGGGGCUUACAAUUUUGCCUUGCUAUAGAGUAUAAUACUAUUUAAAUAAUUAUUGCAGCAAAAUUGGAUCCACCAAAUAUAUUGGUAACUUUAUUGUUGAUGCUCAAUUUUUUUUUUUGGUUAACUUUCCUAGUUGGAGCAGAAGCUUCAAAAAAAAAAAAAAAAAAAAAAAAAAAAAACUUUACUAAGAGCUCUGCAAAGAUAUUAAAUGGGAACCAUAUUCAGUUAGUAGAGCCAUGAUGCAUUGAUGCUUCCAUUCCGUAUUCAUGAAGAGAGGAAAAUGUCUCAUGAAUCACAACAGUUGGUUUGAUUUCCAAAAACAAAUCCAAUUUAUCAUUAGGUUAAAUCAUGACAAAGAAUCAAAGAAUUAGAUAAUAAUCAGUUCCAAUAUGCAUGCAUAUAUAUAUAUAUAUAUAUGCCACCAUUCACCAAUACUAACCCAAAGAGGGGGAAAAAGAAUAUGCAAAAACAUUAUAUAUCUAGGGUAAAAAUGUAUGGAGAUCGACCCCAUAACCUAUUGGCCAUUCUGAAACAGUCCUUUCAACUUCUUUUUUUUUUUUUUGAAUUAAUAUAAUUUUUUCAACUUUUGAACUUUUUUAAUUGAAGUUGAAGGGAAUUUUCAGAACGCACUAUAGGUGAGGGACGUUCUCUAGACAUUUUCACCUUCCUGUUCUUCCACCUCUAUCUACUUCAAAACUCAAAUUAAACGUAUCAACACAAGUACGUACAUUUCUAAGCCUCUACUAUAAGAAAUAAGAAGAGGUGCAAAACCUCGAACCCCCGAAUUAAAUUCUAACUUCUUACCAACUCAAACAACUCCUCCAAGGAGGGCAACAACUCCGCAAACACCCCUCCUUGCGCCAACUCCUCGGACUUGGGCUGCUUUCGCCUUCGGCCUUCGUCCUCUGGAUCGGCUCGAGCAAUACAAUCCUCGAACGCGGAGUCCUUCCCGGUGAGCCUCUGCACGACCGACUUGAACUGCACGGCGUCCGCCUCCACGAACUUCGUCACGAUGACCCUCACCUUCAUCGGCGGCACCCUCGCCUCUUGAUCCAUGUAUUGAAUGAAAACCCAAGAAACAAACACACAUACGCUUUAUAAGUGCCUAGCUAUUUCCAUGAAUCACUACUUCAUUUGUGGUGAGAGUUGCCACACAAUUUGGCCAUAUAUAUACUGUAGCCAUUAAUAUCUUGCACAAAGGAGAGGUUGUGAGGGGCCGCAAGAUGAGAAAUUAUUGCUUGCAACGAGUGCACAAGUGCAGUUUAUACGCCCCACCUCUACUAUGCCACAAUAGCCAUCUUAAAAUCAAAAUUCAACUUAUUAGAUAUAUUUUAUAAUAUAUAAAAGACAACCAUAUAAAAAAAUAAUAAAUUUUGGAGACCUAUUCCUCUCAUUGAGGCUACGUGGUUAGAUUUUAAGAUAUUGACUAUGAGAACUUAGUACGGUGCAUACACCGGGUGCAGGCAAUAGUUUCUUCGAGGAGACUGAGAAGAGGACUAAUUAACGAGGACAGGUCAAAGAUGAAGCCUAGAAGGAACGACUCUGAAUAUAUAUUUCACCACACAUGCAUAAUAAAGCCCGCGGAUGGUGAUUGGUACUGUAUAUACCUAAUAGGUUCAACUGUUACCAGAUGUUCUUGGUCCUUUGUGAUGGCUAUAUAUAUAUAUAUAUAUAUAUAUAUAUAGCUAGGUAUUAUUCUCCUAUACUGUGGGUUUAAGAAAACAAAUUAUUGGUCUUCGUGCAGGAUCUUUUUUCGAGCAUGCAGUACGUGUAGAUACGUACACUAGAGUCUAGACUGAAAAAAUAAUCGAUAUACAGACAAAAUUUAUUUACAAUACAAUAUUUAUAUACAGAGUAAACUUUAGUAUAGCAAUAAUCUCUUGAUUUUUAUUGCAAUAAAGACCAUGUUUUAAUAAGAUUAGGCUACUGCAAAUAGAGAUUGUAAUACUCCACUAAUGCCACAUUGAAUGGAAAAAUAAUUCUGACUAGAUUAUAUGAGGCCUCACACUUUAAUAAUAAUAAAUUGGACAUAAGUAUUUUGAGACGAUGAUUUUGGCCCAACGGGUUAUUAUUGCUAACGGAUUGGAUUGUUAUAAUUGGUAUUAGAGAUGAAUACCAACCGAAAAUGUGAGAGCUAAGUGCUAUAUAUGCGGGGUAAAGUGCUAUACUAUUUGGUGGUAACCACCUAGAUUAUAUAAGGCUCACACUCUGUUAAUAAUAAUUGAACUUACGUAUUUUGAACCGCUGGUUUGGAUCUAAUAAAUUAUUAUUGCUAGCGGAUCGAGUCCAGUAGUACCUUAUCACCCCGUUUGGAUUGAGUAUAAGAGGGGGAAUAAGGGGAUUAUCCCCCCAUCUUGUACCCAAACGAAAAAAUUGGGGGGUGGGCACACUUGUUCCCACCUACCCGGUACAACCGGCUAUAGUACAACCGGCUAUAGGGUGGGAACAAGUGUUCCCACCCAGGGGUGGAACAACUUGUUCCUCCCCUCAGUACAAGAGAGAAAGAUAGAGAGAGAGAGAGAGAGAUUUUUAUUUUAAAUUUUAAUUUUUAAAAUUUAUAAUUUAUAAUUUUAAAUUAUAAAUUUUAAAGUUUAAAUUUUAAAUUUGAUAUUUUUAAAUUUAAAUUUUAAAUAUGAUAUUUUUAGUUUUUAAAUUUUAAAUUUGAUAUUUUAUAUCUUUCAAAUUUAAAUAUGGUCUUAAAUUUAAAAUUAGAUAUUUAAAAUUAAAAUUUUGAAAAUUAAAAUUUUAAAUUUAAUUUCAAAAUUUAAAAUGUAAAAGUUAAAAUUUUCAAUUUAUAAUUUUCAGUUUAAAAUUUUAAAUUCAAUUAUAGGAGUAAUAUCAUUAUUUUUUAUUUAUAAUUACCAACUAUUCUAUUUUAUACUCACAUUUUUAUCCAAACAUAAUUUUUCAAAUUCUAGCUUAUAUUCACAUUUUCAUCCAAACAAAAAAAUACCCUUAUUCCUACGAAAAUUCAUACUUGUACCUAUUCCCGGUAUAACUAGUUCUUGCUUAUACCCGAACCAAACGAAGCCAACCCUGCACAUUAUAUAUAGGUCAAAAUUCAUAUUUUAUCUAAUAGGAGGACUAAGGGCCUGUUUGGCCUAGCUUCUGAAAAAGUGAUUUCUAAAAAAGUGAUUUUGGUUUAGAAAAGUGAUUUCUGUUAAAAGCUGUAGAGCGUUUGGCUGAGUCUGAUAGAAAAGUGAUUGUGCUGAAGUGAUUUUAGAAAGCUGUUUGGCAAAUCUUUUUUGCUGAAGUGAUUUUGUAAUGCUAUUUAACAUUAGUUAUUUUUAAAACACACUAAUAUCACAUGCCAAUAUUUCAAGUUAUAAAUAACUAUUUAAUAUAACAAAAGUGUAUAAUGAUAAAUAUUCAUUAGGAUACAAUUUAUCUAAAUGUACUCAUCAAUGAUACAGCAAUACGAUCGCGAGUUUGGGUCAUGAUGUAAUCAUCUGUUAUUCCACUAUAAGUCUGUGUCGAACUACUUGUACUGUUUUCAUUUUCUUCAAUGUUGGGCAUAUAAUUUAUGUCUUGAUCACAUUUGUUGNGAUAGAAUUGUAAUGUUUGUUUAAGGGUAAUUUCGGUAUUUUAGUAAAAAAAUUUAAGUUGUGAAACAGCUACAGCGGGAAUCUGUUUUGAAAAAGCAGGUUUUUUCAGCUUCUGCUUUUGGAGGUUGAAGAAUCAGUUUUCAGCUUUUAGGAAGCAGAAUCAGAUUUCUAAAUAUCUUUACCAAACACUCUAGCUUGGCCUAAAAGUGAUUUUCAGCUGAAAAUCACUUUGCAAAAGCUUAGCCAAACAGGGCCUAAUACUCUCAGC
rnacentral:lncRNA from 1 species